UUAACACCCAAGAUCGGAGCUGUGUUGACCACAGCAACUGACUCAAAAUGAAGAGCUGUCAGUAGGCAUCCGCAUCAACAAUACUAUUGUUCAGGGUCAUCUUUCAUACUCCAGAGCAAUUUUAAUGAGGAUCUGGGUCACAAUCACUCAGGACCACCAAAGUUGCGCUCCCGUGAUAGACGCCCCAAACCCCAAGCACUUCUAAAACAGCACCUAACGCACAUCUGCAUGGGAAGCGCCGUCUUUUCAGGAUACGGAUACAACAGAAAAGCCUCACUGAUCCAGUUCCUUAUACACCUAUCAUUAAACGGGAGCAAUUAGUAAGAAUUGCA